rnacentral:tRNA from 1 species
GCGAGUGUAGCUCAGUGGUAGAGCAUAGCCUUGCCAAGGUUGGGGUCGCGAGUUCGAGUCUCGUUUCCCGCUCCA